rnacentral:rRNA from 1 species
GACGAACGCUGGCGGCGUGCCUAAUACAUGCAAGUUGAGCGCUGAAGGUUGGUACUUGUCCCAACUGGAUGAGCAGCGAACGGGUGAGUAACGCGUGGGUAAUCUUCCUUUGAGCGGGGGACAACAUUUUGAAACGAAUGCUAAUACCGCCUAAUACCUUUAACCACAAGUUUUAAGUUUGAAAGAUGCAAUUGCAUCACUCAAAGAUGAUCCCGCGUUGUAUUAGCUAGUUGGUGAGGUAAAGGCUCACCAAGGCGAUGAUACAUAGCCGACCUGAGAGGGAGAUCGGCCACAUUGGGACUGAGACACGGCCCAAACUCCUACGGGAGGGAGCAGGAGGGAAUCUUCGGAAAGGGACGAAAGUCUGACCGAGCAAAGCCGCGGGAGUGAAGAAGGGUUUCGGAUCGGAAAACUCUGUUGGUAGAGAAGAACGUUGGUGAGAGUGGAAAGCUCAUCAAGUGACGGUAACUACACAGAAAGGGACGGCUAACUACGUG